CAUGGCUCCCUGAACGUAAUAUAUAGGGAGUCGGACCUGCCCAGUGAAAAAUUUUAAACGGCCGCGGUACUCUGACCGUGCAAAGGUAGCAUAAUCAUUUGCCCUAUAAUUGAGGGCUAGUAUGAAUGGUUUGACAAGAAUAAAGCUGUCUCCGUGUAAUUACAUAGAAUUUUAUUUUUAGGUGAAGAAGCCUAAAUUAUAUUAAAAGACAAGAAGACCCUAUCGAGCUUUAAAGAAAUUAAUGAAGUAAUAUGAAAUAUUAACUAAAAUAAAUUUUGUUAAAAAUUUUGGUUGGGGCGACAAAGGAACAAACAAAGCUUCUUUUUAAAUAAAAAACUUGCAAGUAAUGAUCCAGAAAAUUCUGAUUAAAGAAAUUAGUUACCGUAGGGAUAACAGCAUUAUCUUUUUUGAGAGCUCAUAUCGAAAAAAAGGUUUGUGACCUCGAUGUUGGACCAGGAUAUCCAGAAGAUGCAGAAGUCUUCAAAGGUUGGUCUGUUCGACCAUUAAAAUCCUACGUGAUCUGAGUUCAGACCGGCGUGAGCCAGGUCAGUUUCUAUCUUUUAUUAGUAAAGUAAGUUUAGUACGAAAGGACCAACUUAUAAUAUUAUAAAUAAUAUUAACUUACUGAUUAAAUAUAAUAUAGAAAUAAAUAAAAUUAAU
rnacentral:rRNA from 1 species